GACGAACGCUGGCGGCGCGCUUUACGCAUGCAAGUCGCACGGACCUUCGGGUUAGUGGCGGACGGCUGAGUAACGCGUAGGUAACCUGUCCUGUGGCGGGGGACAACUUGCCGAAAGGCGAGCUAAUACCGCAUGUGGUCACCGGGUGAAACUCCCGGUGAAGAAAGCAGCAAUGCGCCAUAGGAGGGGCCUGCGUCCUAUCACGGUAGUUGGUGGGGUAACGGCCUACCAAGCCUGUGACGGGUAGCUGGUCUGAGAGGACGAUCAGCCAGAAGGGGACUGAGACACGGCCCCUACACCUACGGGUGGCAG
rnacentral:rRNA from 1 species